UCCAAAUCAAUACAGCGGUGACAGAAACAUCAGAGUACGUCAUGCGAAAAACACACACAUGUUUUUCUGGAGUGUUUACCUCGUGAACACCUGGCGCUAUGUUCUACCUGGAAGCUUUUCCAAACCCUCCGACGGAAAGUGCAGCUACGCGGCCACCUAGCCAGGCGGACGUGAUCUCUCACCACCUAAAUCUCAACUCUGGAGCUAAUGAUGCCAAGAAUUGCUCACAACUAGCCCAUCAAAUAAAAGAAGAGAGAGACAAAGAGCAGAACGCCAGUGUGGGGAGGUGUGCUGUGGCCUUUCAUCUGAUGUGAAAGAAAGACAGAUGGCAGAAGCUUCAUCUGCUUCAUCCUCCAUGAGUUAGCUCUGGCUGAAGGCUGAUAACCAAACUUGAGGUGCCUGCAUCGUUC